GCGUGUGUGUGUGUGUGUGUGUGUGUGUGUGUGAAAAUAAGGACACAAGAAGCGGUGCAUGCGUCCACAAGCGGCUUUUUGGUGCAUGUGUAUGAGUCAGCGCUUUUCACCCACAAGCACGACGCCCUUUAAUUUAGUCUUCUUUCACACUGCAGCCGUUAUUAACACCCGCUAUAUAACAGGUGUGGACGUAUACGAAACCUUUUUGCCUCGCUUCCACUGAACUAUAAAGAACGGCGUUAGUGGGUGGGUCUCUUUUUUCAUGCUGGCACUAAAAUUUAAAGAACGGGGUUAGGUUUUGGGGUCUCUUUCAUGCUGGCAGUAAAAUUUAAAGAACGGCGUUAGUGGGUGGGUCUCUUUCACGCUGACACUAAAAUUUAAAGAACGGGAUUAGAUUUUUGGGUCUCUUUCACGCUGACACUAAAAUCUAAAGAACGGGGUUGGGUCUUUGGGUCUCUUUCACGCUAGCAUUGAUACAUAGGGAAUAGCGUUAGGUGUGCGGGUCCCCUUCCACGCUGUCAUUGAUAUAUAAGGGAUUGCUUUGGGUGGGUAGGUGUUUCUCCUUUCACGCUGCCACUGACACAUAAGGAAUUGUGUCAGGUGAGCGGGUCACCAUUCACGCCGAAGCCACUCUUUACCUGGUGGUGUCGAGUCGGCGGAAAAGAAGAUCAAGAGUUGUGACUUUGUUGUCACUGAAAUACAACUAGGAACUGCGAUGAGAUUAAAGGCGGUGUGCACAAAAGGAGAGGUUAGAAGAAUAUACAAAUGGAAUGAGAGAAGAAUUUACUUAGAAAAGAUAUAAAUAUAAUAGAGAUAGGACGAGAGAAGAAUAUAGAUGACAGAAGAAUGUAAAAAAAAAAGACAUGACAAGAUUAAACAAAGGAGAGAAAAAUAUACGUAGAAUAGACAUGAACAGAUUAUAGAAGUACAUGAGAGAAGAAUGUAGAGAAGGCAUGACAGAGGAAUAUAUAGAAAAAGACAUGACAAGUGUAUACAAAAGGCACCACAGGAAAAUAUACAUAAGACAUAAACAAAAGAAUAUAACAAAGACAUGAUAAAAGAAGCAUAGAAAAGAAAGAAGGAUACAUUAAAAGGAUAUUAUACAGAAGAACAUACAAACGGCAAGACAGAAUAGACAAAAAAGACAUAACAAGAACUAUAAACAAGACAUGAAAAAUAGACAAAUAGCAUGAUGGAAUACACAAAAAAAAAAAUGAAAAAAAAUGCAUGACAGUAAUACACAGAAAAAAUCACAACAGCAGAAUAUAAAAGAGGCAUAAAAGAAAAAAAAGUACACCCAAAAAACCAUGACAGGAGGAACAAAGAAAAGAUAAAACAAGACGAAACAAAAGACAGAAUACACAAUAAAAAAUAA